AUUGAACGCUGGCGGCAUGCCUUACACAUGCAAGUCGAACGGUAACGGGUCCUUCGGGAUGCCGACGAGUGGCGAACGGGUGAGUAAUAUAUCGGAACGUGCCCAGUAGUGGGGGAUAACUGCUCGAAAGAGCAGCUAAUACCGCAUACGACCUGAGGGUGAAAGGGGGGGAUCGCAAGACCUCUCGCUAUUGGAGCGGCCGAUAUCAGAUUAGCUAGUUGGUGGGGUAAAGGCCUACCAAGGCAACGAUCUGUAGUUGGUCUGAGAGGACGACCAGCCACACUGGGACUGAGACACGGCCCAGACUCCUACGGGAGGCAGCAGUGGGGAAUUUUGGACAAUGGGCGCAGGCCUGAUCCAGCAAUGCCGCGUGCAGGAAGAAGGCCUUCGGGUUGUAAACUGCUUUUGUCAGGGAAGAAAUCUUCUGGGCUAAUACCCCGGGAGGAUGACGGUACCUGAAGAAUAAGCACCGGCUAACUACGUGCCAGCAGCCGCGGUAAUACGUAGGGUGCGAGCGUUAAUCGGAAUUACUGGGCGUAAAGCGUGCGCAGGCGGCUUUGCAAGACAGAUGUGAAAUCCCCGGGCUCAACCUGGGAACUGCAUUUGUGACUGCAAGGCUAGAGUACGGCAGAGGGGGAUGGAAUUCCGCGUGUAGCAGUGAAAUGCGUAGAUAUGCGGAGGAACACCAAUGGCGAAGGCAAUCCCCUGGGCCUGUACUGACGCUCAUGCACGAAAGCGUGGGGAGCAAACAGGAUUAGAUACCCUGGUAGUCCACGCCCUAAACGAUGUCAACUGGUUGUUGGACGGCUUGCUGUUCAGUAACGAAGCUAACGCGUGAAGUUGACCGCCUGGGGAGUACGGCCGCAAGGUUGAAACUCAGAGGAAUUGACGGGGACCCGCACAAGCGGUGGAUGAUGUGGUUUAAUUCGAUGCAACGCGAAAAACCUUACCUACCCUUGACAUGUCAAGAAUUCUGCAGAGAUGUGGAAGUGCUCGAAAGAAAACUUGAACACAGGUGCUGCAUGGCCGUCGUCAGCUCGUGUCGUGAGAUGUUGGGUUAAGUCCCGCAACGAGCGCAACCCUUGUCAUUAGUUGCCACGCAAGAGCACUCUAAUGAGACUGCCGGUGACAAACCGGAGGAAGGUGGGGAUGACGUCAGGUCCUCAUGGCCCUUAUGGGUAGGGCUACACACGUCAUACAAUGGCCGGUACAGAGGGCUGCCAACCCGCGAGGGGGAGCCAAUCCCAGAAAACCGGUCGUAGUCCGGAUCGUAGUCUGCAACUCGACUGCGUGAAGUCGGAAUCGCUAGUAAUCGCGGAUCAGCUUGCCGCGGUGAAAACGUUCCCGGGUCU
rnacentral:rRNA from 1 species